UACGAAGGGGGCUAGCGUUGCUCGGAAUCACUGGGCGUAAAGGGUGCGUAGGCGGGUCUUUAAGUCAGGGGUGAAAUCCUGGAGCUCAACUCCAGAACUGCCUUUGAUACUGAGAAGCUUGAGUCCGGGAGAGGUGAGUGGAACUGCGAGUGUAGAGGUGAAAUUCGUAGAUAUUCGCAAGAACACCAGUGGCGAAGGCGGCUCACUGGCCCGGUACUGACGCUGAGGUGCGAAAGCGUGGGGAGCAAACGGG
rnacentral:rRNA from 1 species